rnacentral:rRNA from 1 species
UACGGAGGAUGCAAGCGUUAUCCGGAUUUAUUGGGUUUAAAGGGUGCGUAGGCGGCGCGUUAAGCGUGAGGUGAAAGCUCGGGGCUCAACCCCGGAACUGCCUCGCGAACUGGCGUGCUUGAAUGCCCCUGCCGUGGGAGGAAUGUGUGGUGUAGCGGUGAAAUGCAUAGAGAUCACACAGAACACCGAUUGCGAAGGCAUCUCACGAAGGGGUGAUUGACGCUGAGGCACGAAAGCGUGGGGAUCAAAC